rnacentral:rRNA from 1 species
AUUGAACGCUGGCGGAAGGCCUAACACAUGCAAGUCGAACGAGUGGCGGACGGGUGAGUAAUGUCUGGGAAACUGCCUGAUGGAGGGGGGUAACUACUGGAAAAGGUAGCUAAUACCGCAUACCAUCGGAUGUGCCCAGAUUGGAUUAGCUAGGAGGUGGGGUAAGGGUUCACCUAGGCGACGAUCCCUAGCUGGUCUGAGAGGAUUAUCGGCCACACGGGUACUGAGACACGGCCCAGACUCCUACGGGAGGCAUCAGUGGGGAAUUUUCGGCAAUGGGCGCAAGUCUGACGCAGCAAGGCCGCGUGUGUGAAGAAGGCCUUCGGAUUGUAAAGCACUUUUAUUGAGGAAGCGUUAUCUACAGAAAAAGCACCGGCUAACUACGUGCCAGCAGCCGCGGUAAUAC